GAUGAACGCUAGCGAUAGGCUUAACACAUGCAAGUCGAGGGGCAUCACAUGAGUAGCAAUACGAUGGUGGCGACCGGCGCACGGGUGAGUAACACGUAUGCAACCUGCCCGUAACUGGGGAAUAACCCGUCGAAAGGCGGACUAAUACCGCAUAAUAAUGGUUUACUGCAUGGUGAAUCAUUUAAAGAUUUAUCGGUUACGGAUGGGCAUGCGUUCCAUUAGGUAGUUGGUAGGGUAACGGCUUACCAAGCCUACGAUGGAUAGGGGUUCUGAGGAGAAGGUCCCCCACACUGGUACUGAGACACGGACCAGACUCCGACGGGAGGCAGCAGUGAGGAAUAUUGGUCAAUGGGCGAGAGCCUGAACCAGCCAUAUCGCGUGAAGGAUGAAGGUAUUAUGUAUUGUAAACUUCUUUUGUCAGGGAAUAAAGUGCGGCACGUGUGCUGUUUUGUAUGUACCUGAAGAAUAAGGAUCGGCUAACUCCGUGCCAGCCGCCGCAGUAACAC
rnacentral:rRNA from 1 species